rnacentral:lncRNA from 1 species
AGGCCACACCCCUAGAUACAUAUAUGUCCAAACCCCACCCCACCCCAAAGACCCCGUCUCUAACCCCUCUCAUCAGAAACCCUAGAGCCUUCCGUCUAUGCCGUCUACCACCGUGCACAGUCGGCCAGAAAUCGCCUCCACCGGCGGCGGAGCUCCAAAUCACACCAAAUUAACAGCACUUGACCGCCUUCCCCUCCUCUAUCCAAAUCCAUGCCCCUCUUCCCUCGAACCCCACCCCAUCUCCUUGAAUAUUAGUUUGAAAUACUGGCUCCUCCGCCAUAUACAGCGCCGCCGCCACCCAACCACUCCCAAACUAACACCAAAUGACCUCUGCCUCUCUCUCACUUCUAAUCUGCACUUAACAUCGCUCAAACACUCUUGGAUCUUGUGAAAUACGGAUUCGAAAGAGGCUGUCAACUUCACCAUCACCAAAUCGACCCAGAAUCAUACCCAGACCAUGGUGCAUGUAGAGAAAUUAAGCUAAGUUGUCUCAUUUUCUUUUCUGAAUUUCCUUUUUCCUCAUCACUUAUGUUAAUCUGGUUCAAGGUUAGGGUUAGGUCACAAAAUUCAAAUUAGGUUAGUUUGAAUCUCAUUCUUGAGUUUAAUUUUAGUUGUGUUCUAUCCUGUUUAGUUUUCAUAUCUUCUUGUAAUUCGAAUUAAGUUUUAGUAGGAUUAAAAUUAGUGAGGUUAGUUAGUGUUGCUCAUAAUGUGCGUUGAUUGUUAUUUUAAUGGUUUUCUGAGUUUAUGUUUGUGUGAAAUGGUCAGUUUUCUAGCAUGUUGAAAUACUAUCUAGGGUUCUUAUGGUAGACAGGUUUUGAUGACUUAAUAUGAUUCACAGCUAUUUGGUGCAUUCUCAGCCUUGCCUUUUAUUUGUUUUGAUCCAUGUGAAGAUAUUAGCUCAUUUUCCUCUGUUUGUUUAUGUUUAUAGAUUUUCAGUACUUUAAGGGGCGUAAUUGAAUGAUUAGAAACUUNNNNNNNNNNNNNNNNNNNNNNNNNNNNNNNNNNNNNNNNNNNNNNNNNNNNNNNNNNNNNNNNNNNNNNNNNNNNNNNGGGGGGGGGGGGGGUAGUAUAAGAUAAUACACCUAGAGAAUAUUUUGAUAACAAUAAUAGAAUCUUCUAGAAGGGGGUGCCCGGUUAAUUUGAAUGAUAAAACUUGGUCCAGAUGUCAAAAUAAAGGACUAAAAUGAAAAAGGCAACUCUUCUUGCCUUAGAAAUGAGGACUUUAGGCAGCAAAAUUCUGAAAAGAGAGACUAGAAAGAUCAGAAAAAGAAUAGGAAAAAAUACAGCUAAAAUAAUAUUGUUCAAUUAAAAUUUUUCUGAGAUCCCGGAGAUUUUCUUGGUUAAAACGAAUCUUUAAAUAUUUAGAAGCUAAAAAAGAGUUGAACUUGGUUUGAUAUUCAAGUAUUUGGGUUAGCUUUUGUUUGGAUUUUGAUGUUGGGUUUAACUGAUACAUUUGUGGUUCAAGUUUGGGUUUUAAGUUGAUCUUCCUCCGUUAUUCCUGGGCUAUUUAGCCGCUGAAACAUUGUCCCUGCUACUACUGCUACUAAACCUGCCGUCUCACUUCUUCUUUGUUUCUCUCUUCUUCCAGGUACCAAUUUUCUGAUUCAUUCAUGAUGUAAAGGUUGAUUUAAGGAUGAAGUGGAAGCACCAUUUUUACUUUAGUUCUUUGUUUCCUUGACUGAUGUUCAUGUUCCUUCAUUUACUCAUAGUAUAGUCUUAGUUGACUUCCAUUUAAGUAGUCAAAUUCUCAUGCUGUAAUUAAUCGUGGAUUGUAAAAACUGUGAUAUGUUUGGAUUUCAUUGGCUAUUUAGCUUUAGUUUAUAAGUCAAAUUUGCAAUCCAUGUUAUCUGAAUCUAAAAACAAUUUGGGAAUAAUUAGACUCUAUUACUGUCUAAUCAAGUUCUUAUGCUGUAAUUAAUCGUGGACUGUGGAGACAUGUGAUGUGUUUGGAUUUCUUUGGUUGUUUAGCUUUAAUGUUAUAAAUCAAAUUUGCAAUCCUUGUUAUCUGAAUGUAAAUUUGGGAAUAGUUAGACUCUAUUGCUGUUUGGUAUGCGUAAGCUUGAUAUUUAUGUAGCUGUUGGUAUUGUGUGACUGAGCCUUUAUUAUGGUGUUCGCUUCUUAUUAGCCCUAAAUGUUUCUUGUUAUGAAUCUCUGCUAGGAGUACCUGUAUAAAUAUAUUACAUUCCUUGUUCUUGAUUGACAAAGAGAAGUAAACCAUACUGUUUUCUUGUUGUUUCCUCUAAGACAUACUUUUGUUAAAUCGCGCUUGUAUGGUAGCCAGGUUCUUUUGAGUUUGGCGAUUGAAACAUGCCCAUAUCUGAAUUAUUUGUUGGAAAUCUUAUUUUCUGCUAUCAUAUGGAGCUGUAGCAUAGGUUGCAUUCAUUUGGUUGCUUUUUGUCUGUCGAUUCAGUUAUCUUAUUCUUGUUAUAGUCAACUUUGGACUCGGCAAAUAUAGUGGUCAUAACUUGUGUCAAAUGUUUGCCGGGAUAUAAGAAUUGGAAAUGUGCCUAGCCCAUUAACAAUGAAUCACCUACAUCCUUAGACCUUUGGCUUGGUCAAGUGCAACGAAACUCUUCAACAAAAGUACCUCAUGGAUUCAGGCUUCUUCACUCAUAAUCAUUAGUUUACCAACACCCAUAGCUUUAUAAAUUUUAAUCGAAUCCCUUUUGCAAAUAUAGUCAAGGUGUGCCAACGCCAAAUGAAAUUGAAUAAUUGCAUUGCAUAAUCAAAUUCGAACCCUUAAAAUUGGAGAUGUACCACCUAGUGAAUUUUCGUGGCCCUCGCAAAUUUAAACAUACGAAAUUGCUUUAGGCGCGGUAGUUAGAUAAUCUACUUUCCUAAAUAUGGGUGCGCAUUUAUGUGACCCAAAUUUAAAUCCCAACGAUGUUGAAAUAUGUCAAAGACUACAUGUGCAUUUAUGUGACGUUGUUCAAGACACGUUUUAAAAGCUAAUCAAAGCUAAAUAAAAGCGGUUAAAAGUUAAAAUUUGCACAUAAGUACAAUAAUGCAUUAAAAUAAGAUAAUCGAGCCGAAUAUAAUAGUUGAGUGACCGUGCUAGAACCACAGAAUUCGGGAGUGCCUAACACCUUCUCCUGGGUCAAUAGAAUUCCUUACUAGGAUUUCUGGCUCGCAGACUGUACAUAGAGUCAAACUUUCCUCGAUUCGGGAUUUAAGCCGGUGACUUGGGACACCAUUAAUUAUCCCAAGUGGCAACUCUGAAAUCUCUAAAUAAAUAAAUCACGUUUCGGGUUCCUUUAAUUGGAAAAACUCCCUUAGCUACGCUCUUCGCCAGGGUUGUAGUGGGUAAAAAGGAGGCGUGACAGAUCUGGCGACUCUGCUGGGGAAUCAAACCCAAAAUCUCUGGUUAGGGUUCAAGAAUUCAAGCUUUAUAUAAUUAUUGUAUCUGGCUUUAUUAUUAUCUGAUUUUAUUACAUAAUUGUGCGCAAUGUGCUAAAUGUUAUUUUUACCGCUCUAAUAUUAUUUGAACUGUAUAUAAAGUGAUGCGAAACCUUUCUCUUAUCAUCUUUGGGAUGUGCUCGCUGGUCAAGACUCCCUAUUCUAAUACUGUCAUACCUUGAAAUAAGAGACAGGCCGGGCAAGUUACAAAGACGGAUUGCCUUUUGGUUCCCGGUACGUAGUCCCCUCAUUGACUCGAGUUGUCCGCACGGGGUACACAGUCUAGAACAUAUACCCAGGAUUUGAAGCUAGAAUAACUUAACCUCAUGCCGGUGCCUUAGUAAGAAUGCUUACAUGCAUCAUGCAUUUAAAUUAGGGGACUCAACACAGGGGUUGUGUUCGUCUAGGACAGGUGCACCCAAAAUGAUGGACCAUCUUGAUGCAUUUUACCGUGCUACUUGUGUAUUUAUUCCGGAUUUGCAUGCCGAUCGGCUUUUUAAAAAAAAAGAAAAAAGAGAGAAAAAGGAGAAUUUGACAAGUGUGUGGGAUGAGGAAGGGAUUUACCUAGUUAAACAGCCGAUACUGAAAUGGUGUCGAAAUUUUGAAAACACAACCAAAAAAAAAAGGAAAAGAGUUUGUUUUCGGAAAAUGCAAAAAAGAGAGAUGGAUUUUAUUUUUCGAAAAAAAAGAAAAAGAAAACAAAAGUUGGUUUUUAAUUUUGUCAAGAUAUCCCGAACUAUGCCAGUUUGAUUCACAUAGGGAGAUACGUAUGCAACCGCCAUCGGGCCCAACUUUAUUAUUGCAAAAAUAGCCAAAAGAACUAGAUUUUGUUUGUGAAUAAUAAAUAACGCAGUUUUGUCAAAAUUCGCCGAGUGUCCUAAAAGGGUGUCGGGAGGCUGUUUUUGCAAGAACAGCCACCUUGAAUUAUUUUCUAAAUUGUGGCAGGUAGCAGGCACAACCUUAAAAUCUUCCAUGAAACUGCUGAAAGGCAGGGUUUGCGAUGCCUGGAUUUUAAUUUUGAAAUGAAAAUUUGGAAAAAAUCAAUUUUGUCUUUGAGUCCAAUAAAUCAUGAUUUUUGCUUAAUCACCCUAAUAAUUGUGCAGAAUGAGUACGAAUCAAAAUUUUCCAAUCUCAGUCAUGAACAAGAUCCCUAUGGAGGUACACACAUGUGGUGGAAUGAUCUAGGUGAAUCGGGCAAAACAAGGUCAAUAAGCACUUGGGAGGACUUACUGGGUUACUGAAAAAGAGGAUGUCAUAAAGGCGUUAGUUACAUUCUGGGACUCUGCCCAUAACGUAUUUUAUUUCCCGGACUUUGAACUCACUCCGACCCUGGAAGAAAUAACUGGAUAUAUCGGGGUUCCCAAAAUUCCUCUAAGACAUCAGUAUCUGAUUGCGCCAAGGGCAGUUGCUCUGCACAAAUUCUUGGACUCACUAAAGAUAACCAGGGGGGUUACACAAUCCAGACCUGUCAGUAGGUUUUUGUACCCCACAGUUUAUGUACCAAAAGUAUGGGCAUAUAGGGGGUUUAAUGACCCAGAAAAUAAAAUUUGUAGCAACGGAAAUCGACUCAAGUGGGAGGAACAAUAGUGUUUCGCAUUUAUGAUAUUCUUCUUGGACCUCAUGGUGUUUCCUUGGAAGGACGAGAAUAUUGACAUACGGGUAGCAAGGGUUGUCAGUACUUUGAUCACCCAAGCCUAGAGCACCCUCGCACCCAUGGUAUUAGCUGAACAUUUCCGUGCCCUCACAACAUGUAAAGCCGAAGGGGAUUUAUUUGAAGGAUGAAAUCUAUUGUUCUAGAUAUGGAUGGUUGAACACUUGUGCCAUCGAUCUCAAUUCAUGAGUUAUGGGUCAUCAGAAAGGGGCCGCAUCGAGGAAUUUUACACCAGAGUUGAUGGGUCCAGAUUACCAUAGGGGGUCACAGAAUGGGUACCAUAUCUCCGUGCCAUAAGUGCAAUUCAAAUAGAGUGGACAUUCGGGUGGCUCCCCAUUGAUGAAAUUAUAUAUAUGCCAGCUACUGGGCCUCAUUUCCUUCUGAUGGGUUUCCGGAGUAUCCAACCAUAUACUCCAUACAGAUUGCUAAGACAUUUAGAGAGGUGCCAGAUGAUUCCCAAGGAUGAAGACAUUAGUUGCCAUGUGGUCGAGAUUGGUCCCAAUAGUCAGUUUCCCAAAGCAGUAGUCCAUCAAAUUUGGAGCGAAUGUCAGUACUUGACGGUGGAGACUCGAGUACGAGACUUAUCCAAAGGCCAGGUUGCACCAGAGUACCUUUCUUGGUAUAAGAAGGAAAUAGAGUUCGGAAG